GACGAACGCUGGCGGCGUGCUUAACACAUGCAAGUCGAACGGAAAGGCCCCUUUGGGGGUACUCGAGUGGCGAACGGGAGAGUAACACGUGAGUAACCUGCCCUUGACUUCGGGAUAACUUCAGGAAACUGGGGCUAAUACCGGAUAGGAAUCCUUGCUGCAUGGUGGGGGUUGGAAAGCUUCGGCGGUUUUGGAUGGACUCGCGGCUUAUCAGCUUGUUGGUGGGGUAGUGGCUUACCAAGGCUUUGACGGGUAGCCGGCCUGAGAGGGCGACCGGCCACAUUGGGACUGAGAUACGGCCCAGACUCCUACGGGAGGCAGCAGUGGGGAAUAUUGCACAAUGGGCGGAAGCCUGAUGCAGCAACGCCGCGGGCGGGAUGACGGCCUUCGGGUUGUAAACCGCUUUCAGCAGGGGCGAAGCUUGUGGUGACGGUACCUGCAGAAGAAGCACCGGCUAACUACGUG
rnacentral:rRNA from 1 species